UUGGUCGAUUUAAUUGAUAAUGUAUUGGUGCAACUAGACAAGCACAUUGGCUUUUCAUUUGGGGAUUGAAUAAUUAUGUUUAUUACUGGUUGUACACGUUCAACAUAUUGGUAAAGGCAAAGAUUAAAAAAAUUAUUAUACCAACACUAUUGUUAUUUUUUAUAACUGGGAAAUCCUUGCUUCACUUCUCAUAAUCCAGGAUUGCUACCAAUUUGAAAUAAGAGUAACAGACCACGUAGCACUAAACAUAAUCGUAUGUAAUUCAAUGAAGCUGUUUGUUUUGUUCAUUUUUAAUAACAUUCUGUGCCGUAUGUGGCAUUAAAGUGGAGUCUUAGAUCCUCAGCAGCCGAGGAGCUUCGUCUGUUGUUACACAUACGUUCCAUUCAUGUGAGAAUAUAGAUAAUAAGUCUGCCUGUGUUGAGAGGCUGGAUUCUGCUGAGAUGGAAGUGGAGAGUGAGUUUGGAACAUACGAUGAUUUGUUGGACGGCGACUUGCUCCCUUGUCCAAGUGUCUAUUUUAGGUCCAUGGCUGUGAUGUGUUGAGGCGAUAUUUAACAGCUCUCUGUUUCCUGAAUCUCUCAGCCAAGAAUUUUACACAGGGAGGAACUUGACUUCCCAAGCUUAUUUGGACAGGAUGACGGAGGUUACAAAAGGGACAAGUGGACGGGUCCCGACAGUUGUAAUAUCGUGAUUAAAGCUCUAUUGAUUCAUUGAUUCCAGAGAUUGUGUAAUAAAGAAGGCUCGUACUGCAUUAGGUGUGUUUCAUUAAGCAGACGUUUGCUAUCGCCCAACUCUGCUCUUCUCAGAGCUUUCUGUGUCUUCUGUCUUGUGGUUCAUUGUUUUCUUUUUAUAUUCAGCAAAUAUAUAUGUCACGCUUUAGUCCUCCUGGAAACCACCGGGUGAGCAAAGAGGGAUACUGAUAAAAUAUCAAAGAGGGGGAAGAGACUUUCAAGGUCAGGGAAAAAGGGCCCACUGCGCCACUCUGCUAAAUCUCCCAUCUGCUACACUGAGCCACGUUGGUCGGGUUUACUGAACUAAUGUGUGAAGCUACAGUUUAUGUUGAUAUGGAACGGUGAACCAGAAGAUGCCCGUUUUUUAUCAUUCAAACCUUUUUUACAGACUUGAAGGGCUUGAAGUGCUUUAUCAGAAAAGCGUUUCAAAUCCCAGGAAAGGAUGAAUGUCAAUGUUUUAGUGUUUGGUGACAAUGACCGUCGGAGUAGUACUCCCAAGAAAUCGGCUGAGAAAAAGGCUAAAGUUUGACUUUACAUGGGUUUUAUUUAUUUUAUUUUAUUCAUUGAUUGAAUGAUAUUUUAUAUCUAUACGGUGUUAUUUAACCUCAAACCAUGGCCACGAUGAUGAGGUGGCAUCGGCAAGCGUUAUCGGUAGCAACUGGUAGAAUAGCAGCGCUUUUAUGGAUCAAUGAUCAGCAUAGUUUGAAGGCAUAGAAGAGCUUCAACGGGUCAAAGCUUCUGUCAAAAUGAAACCUAGAACAAACAGAAGUGAAUUCUUUGGCCGUUAUCGUUUAAAAGAAACAGUAAUAAUACAAUUCUAAGAUGCCUUAGUUUCUCGGAGGAGAAAUUAUAUCUGCUAGUCAUUGAGUUUUGGCGGUUUAGCAAAUGUUUAGUGUUUGAUGUAACAUAGAGAACUUCUGUGGCUUCUUGGUCUUAUUCUCUGAGAAAGACACGUUGGUGAAGUCAGUGAUAGUAUAAAUUCUGUGUUUAUGGGAAAUGCUCUGCUCUGAGGAAACCAAGGACAAAAUUUGCGAUGGCCAAAAAAAAAAACCGUAUAGUAACUAUAGGUGGUCUUUAAUGUGAAAGCUAUGGUGGCGUCAUGUGAUCAGAAUGUGUCCCAGGCUACAUUGACUUGGGAACUUCCACCAAGGAAAUAGAAGAAGCAUAUUCUGCCUGGUGCUUAGCAACAUCUGCUCGGCGCCGGUCACGCUGGGAAAUCUAAACAGCCCCUUUUUAUUUAUAAAAGCUCAACUUUUAUAAAAAUGUCUUCAGGACAUCUUGCAGGAGGUUCGGACAGGGUAUGCUGUCGCAGCCAUCUCAGUGGACGCAUAAACAUUUCAGUGCGGAUUUGGGGAAAUUGAACCGACUUCAGGGUGCUUGGUGGAUGGUGGUUCAACGCUUUGACCACGGUAGAUGUACUGACUGGCUUCAGUUGUCAUUAUUAUUUAUCAAUGUGCCUACGGUGAAUGAAUUUACCGUAUGCAUGGUUAGUUUGUCCAUCAGUGUACAAAUGGGUGUGAUACCUGAAUCUGAUCUGCAGAUUGCAUUGAAAUCUAAUGAUGAGGCUCUACAGAAUAUUUAUAAUUCUUGUUAUUACAAUAACCCUUCUUAAAAUGUCAUAUCAUAUUGCGACAAUUGUCCUUUUAGGUUAAUCAAUAUUGGAUCUCAAUGAUACCAAUGUAGCCUUUGUUUUUGUUUUAUCUACGCUUUAUUAUAUUUUAUUUAUUAUUUUAAAAUACUUCCUCAUCCUCUGACUUUUCAUUGUGUGUGUUCAAAAUCCCUUUUGUGGAUUUGAUGAAUGUAAAAAAAGGAUUUUGCUGUAAAGUCAAAAACAGAAAUGCCCUCAGAUUUUUGCAUGAAGGUUACAGGUUGAAGGUUCUUCUGGAUGACAGUUGUGGGGUUCGGUUCAUGGUUCCUCAUCAGAGUGUAGCAACAGGACUAGUAUUGCCUCGAGCAUUGAACUCCAGAAGCUGAAUGCUUCGCAUUGUCUUGCUCACUGAGAUGUAUAUAGUGGACAUAUUUGUAGGGCAAAAAUGAAGUGUUAGUAAUUGAUGAGGUCUGGCGGGCCUUCUUUAUUCAUUUGUUUUAACUCACAGACAUUUAAAAAGUUCCAGAGUUGACGGUUGGUUUGUGUGUGUCUGUGUGUGCGUGUGUGUGGUUGCUGCUGUCAGUGUGCUGUUACUAAGAGAUGUAAUCAUGUACCAACAUUCCUGUGUGAAAGCAGGAGGGUUUAACGUUUCUGAUGACAUGUUCUGUAAAAAAGUUUAAUCCUAGAUCUAGGUUAUGUUUUUAAUCUGCAUGUGUAUGAAAUGUUUACCAGUACCAGUCCCAAUUACAAAAUAACAAUUACUUAAUAAUGCAAUAUGCAUCUUAGGCAGACUUUGGCACACUUGCACUAUGUAGGGAACUAACAUGCCCUCUUCAAGAAUGAUUUCUUCAUCACAUUUUGUCCAGUGGAAGAGCUUUUUAUCUCCCAUAAUGGCAUCCACCAAGGACCACAAGACCACACGGAUUACUGUUCAACAAUCAAAUAACUGUUAGCCAGAUUACACAGUAGGCUUCUAGGACAGGGAAAAAGUCCCCUUUCUCUUCUGAAUCCUCAGCCUGGUGUUUUCUAAACUGUUGUAGCUGUAUGGCAGGCAAUUAUUUACACGCAAUUAUUUACAUGCAAUUAUUUACACGCAAUUAUUUACAUGCAAACCGACCCACUACUCAACAUCCAAAUCAAUUUAACUUGACAGAAGGGGAGAGUGGUUAAGCUUCUUUAAGAAACAGGAAGUUGUAAAAACAAACAAAAAUGAAAGCAAGCUUUUGAGACGUUUGUGAUCGACGGAGUCUUUGUUUCUGCGUUAUGUGACGGUUCCACUUACGUUCGGAAACUUCUCAUGGUUGUAAUUCAUUUUUAUUACAGGGAGUGAACUUACAGCGUCUGUUAUUUUAUCAUGCUAUAAAAUGUAUUAUAUGUUUUCUAUUAAAUAUUUUGGAGUUAACCCCAGAUCCUUUCAAGGAUGUUUCUGUUGAAUAAACUUUUGAUGAAGUGAAUCCUCACCCAGUUAAAACUGGUCUCAUAUUUCCUUUAAUUCAAGAGCUGCAUCCAGCUGAGUCAUUAACGGAAUCUAGCUCGUGUUCUGCCUUUAACAUUCACUGUGGGAGCUGGUCUAGAAUCUCUGAACUACUCCCACAUCUGACUAUAAAGCAAGGAAUCUCUUCACUUUUUUACUCUUCACCUACCUGGAGUAAACAAGCAAUACGGGGUCUCCAAUACUGCAAGGGUUCGUCGACCCGCCUGCACCACGCGGACUUCUGCCUUUACACUUUGUCAGUCGCUCUCCUUGAAUUGAUGAUGCAGAUUGGUUUGGCUUUGGCUGAAGCCUGAUGCUUCUCUAGCGGGCUGCUUUCGUGCGGAGCGAUGUUGAGCAGACAUUAGUAUCAAAAGAGGGGGAAGUGACAAGUGAUGGAACGGCCACAUUCUUUUGGAGGAGUUGAACUUCAGUUAUUUUUAUUGUUUCGCAUGUUGGGUUCCUCUUCUGUUAAUAGGAGAAUAACUGAAACAUAAGUUGUAUCCCUUCCAAUCUGGCUGAGGGUUUCUCCAAAAAAGACAUUUUUGAUUGAUUAUAUUUCACUGUAUAUUUAAUGUUAUAUUUCCUGCACUGUGUUUAUUUGUUUUUUUGUCUUGUUGUGCAAUGUACUAAAAUAGAAUAAAUGUUCCUGAUUCCUGAUACUUCAUUCCGAUUAACUUAAAAUCUAAGGUUGCCAAUCAUAUUCAAAAUAUCACACACAGUCUGGUUGUAAAACGUUCUGCAAUCAUCUCAACUUUUAUUCAAGUGCAUCGUCAUUACAAAACAGGGUUGUUGUUGCUCAGGUAGUAGUUGCUGUAAUUUUGUCAUUUUUGACAGCAGGUGUCUUGAACACCACCCCGACACAUGCCAAAAUGAGCAGACUUUAACAAAGCUUUUUCUUUCUUGGCAGGAAUUGGCAAAUUUACAAAUUUACAAAAAUUCAUUUUUAUUAAGGUUUUUUUUCCUCGACGGACCAGCUUCUUUCAAGAACCACGGAGGGGGCCUGCGAGUAUGCUCAUCCACUCUACAUGUGUUUUGUGGACCUGCAGAGGGUGUAUGACCGGGUCCCCCGAGAGAUAAUGUGGGAGGUGAAGCGGGUGUACCGGGUGGGGAGCCCAUCCAAUGGCUGCACGCCCAAAGUGAGAGCUGUGUUGGCAUAGGGGGGGAGGGAGGUCUACAGUUUGGUGCGUUGUGGAUCUCAUUGCUGCUUUUUGCAAAUGAUGGUGGGGUCUUGAUGGCAUCUUCUGUCUGUGACCUCCAACUCUCACUGGAGCGGUUCGCAGCCGGGCGUGAAGCGGUUGGGUUGAGGAUCAGCACCUCUAAUUCUAAGGCCAUGGUUCUCAGCAGGAAACCAAUGGAUUGCCGAUUGGGGUCCUUACCCCAAGUGAAGGAGUUCAAGUAAAACGGGUCUUGUUCGCAAGUGAGGGGAAGAUGGAGUGUGAGUUUGGCCAGAGAAUCGGAGCAGCGGGGGCGGUAUUGCACUCGCUUUAUCACACCGUUGAGACAAAAAGAGAGCUGAGCCGGAAUCUACCCGUCAAUCUUCGUUCCUACCCUCACCUUUGGUCAUGAAGGGCCAGGACUGUAGUGGAGGGUAAGCGCACGUAAAUGCCGUUUACGCACCUCUGGAAUUUUGGAAAUAGCGUUUACGCACCUCAAAGUUCCCACCUGCGCCUUGUAUUCUUCCGUUGGAAUAAUGUCAGUUUAAAACACCUAAGACUACAUUUCAUAUUGUUGAACAUAUAAACGGUGUAGUUUGAAUCAUUUUCAUCUGCGCUGUCUGGUCUGUGACCCUCCAAUCAGUGCCUUGCGGGUGCGGCGGCUCCACCAAUCAGGAUGUAAACACACACACAUAUUAUGGAUCAGCCCGCCUGUUCGGAAUGGAUUCAUUAGUUGCGUCGACUUUUUGAGCUUUCUCUUAAUGGUUACAGAGCAGGGGAAGUGUUAACUUGUAGGAUGGCUUUUUUCAUAUUACACGGUUCAGCUGUAACACCCUGGGCCUUCAUUUUUGGAGGUCCUAAUAGAGGUCCUUUCUUUUGUCUCCCCCUCCAGGCCCUCCAUUUUUUUUGAGGACACAUACACAUACUUUCCUUUACUGUUUUCUUGAAAUGUACAUACAGUGUUUUACAAACACAUUUAUUCACUGUCAUUGAUUGUAUAUGACUUCAACUGAUAACAUAAUAUAAUAUAGCCAGGACAGCCUUACAGAGUCGCAACGCGUUGUGUUGUUUGCGUUGAAAGGUGCCAGUUGAGGUCGUUUAACAAUGACAUGAGAGAGAGACUUAUUAUUUUACAGUGCGCUAGCGUAAUUCGGAUAGCAGUAUGUUAACCUACACGCUAACCAGCUCUGCUGUAACUUACUCACAUCAUGGACGUGAAUAACAUUUUACAGCAUGUUACUGUAUAUUGGAUUACAGUAUUUUACUAUAGGAUUUUGUGUCGUAAUUUUACGGUAUAUAUGUAUGGAAGUAAAUCUGUCAAAUAUGUCAUCGGAUUUUGAAAGAAAAAGAUGACUGAAUAUGUAUGCAUUGAUAUCAUGCAUCUGAAUGUUUUUCAACGUUAAAAUAUUCAACCGCAAAUAAUUCAACAUUAAAAUAUUCAACUGCAAAAAAUUCAACCUCAAAAAAUUCAACCGCAAAAAUUCAACCGCAAAAUUUCAACCUCAAAAAAUUCAACCGCAACAUCCGCGAACCCAAGGAAGAUCAAUCGAUUCUAGAUUCAAGAUCGGGAGCGUGCGUCAAGUAAAAGGAGCGAGCGCCCCAAUACAACUUGGGCUUGUCGACUAUGAUGACCCGAUUUCAGCCAUGUCCAUUAUAAUGGGGCUUCGUUGAGUGUUUUAACUUUAACUUUAUGCCAUCAGUGUUGUGUCGUACAGACACAAACCAGUCUGUACGAUUCAGUAAUAGACAGCUGAUGCUGGGAUGUUUCGACAAGCUAUUGGGAGGAAUUGGCGGAGUUUUGAAACAGGGAACUCGCUUGUAGAGCGCAUAUGACCCCCUCCAGCGUACUGGGGGGGGGGGGGGGGGGCAGCGGCUUUAGCGGCUUAAACAUACUUCACACAUAAAUACACACCUAAAGCACAUAACUAUGUGUCACUGGACGCACACAUGUAAGAAAUUAACAGUGAAACUGGUGACUGUGUCCUCGCCUGCCUUCUGCAGCAGCAACAACAGGUAUGCGUGCCACAACAAGGGCUCUGAUUGGCUCAUUCUUUCAGUCCCAAUUACGACUAUUUGAAUACAGCGCUGUUAAAUUAUGGUAGUCCGCUGUUAUUGAUAAUUGACAACAUUAACUGUUCAUUUACAUGCGAAGGAUGAUCAUGUUACAGUUAUUAUGAAAUACUGUAAGAUACUGUUCCAUCCACCAAUCCUCCGUAAAUUCACAGCAAUGUGUUACAGUGUGAAUAAAAAAUGGUUAUCCUUCUGAUUCAUCAACAGGCCCUGACAUGUGCAUGACAUUGUAAGGCAAUGUGAUGGACAUUCCAUUUGGAGUGUUAGAGUUAUUCUGUGGGGACUUAAGAUUCUUGUGACCUGAAAGAAUUUGUUCCAUCAUUCUUUAUUGGCAUUACCUGUAAAACUACUGCGCUGAGACAAAACAUGGGACAUGGGAGACUAGUGGCGAGACUAAGUACAGGUCAGACUCAAAAGAUAAGUUUGAUAAUCGAUGUGGGUUCACUGAUCUGAAUGUGAGACGCUCAGAAUUGAUUUAUGUUUUUCUUUCCAACUUGUAAGCAAGUUGUUAUAGAAUGUUCUAAAAUGAUUUAUAGCCCGAAGAGAACAUUACAUGUUACUGAUCGCAUUGCCUCUCCUGUCUUAAUCACAUUGGCUGUGACAAAAGGUUCCCUUUGAAUUAAGAUUGAUGUGGUUAUAAAUACCACUGACACAAAAUGCUGUGGAAGUUGUCUGGGUGAACUGAAUUGCAUGAGCAUAAAUCAUCAGUGGCACUCUCUUAAUAAAUGACGGUUUAAAAAACCCCAGCUUAUAUACCUUGUUAUUACAGUGAAGGAAUGCUGGUAUAUUAAAGAGGCAUGUAAAAAAGCAGUUAUCAAUACACUGAAUAAAGAGUCCUUCCUUUAACUUCCUGACCACCAUCUUCUUUUUUUCAGUUGGAAAAACCUGGUGGAAGCUGGAGGCGUCGGCUCCCCAGCAUCACCGGAAGAACUGGAAGGUGAGCACCGCUCCCGACAUGUCACGGUGUGUUGUACUGUCAACUGGCCAGAAACGUAGAGGUCAUUGAAGAGACUGAUGGCGGCAAGCCUCCUGAAUUUGAGAUUGUAUGAAGAUCAGAAAGGAAAGGAGGCAGGCAGCAUCGGGGCGGCACACUGUCGGCAUAUACGUUUCACCGCCAGAGCACUUUCCACUACGCUGCCCAUCUGAUCUGGGCAUGGAGCUCCUGCCAGACUCUGCGGAGGGACUCAUUUCAAAAGUGAUGUUAAAAUAUUAACCAUACCCGCACAAUGGGGUGGUGUCACGUGUCAAUUAAGCCAAUAAAGAGGUGCAGGUGUUAGGCUGCAGGUAUUCCACAAGGCCGUGGAGACAGGGCCCCUAUAGACCAAACGAUACAGACACAAUUUCCACUUCAAAGAGCUGAUGCAACAGGACGGAUCCCCUUUCAGUCGCCACAAUGCAGGGAACACUGUAUACCUCUUGAUUAAAUGCAAAUAUCAAAGCGAAAUCCUAGAAGUGAAUGAAUUGCCAUAGAAUUUGGUUAGACAGGAGAUGAAUACAGUUCGGUAUGGUUAAAACGUCUUGCUGUCCACUGAAAUAUCACCUGAUCUGCCAAAUGCAAACUAUCAUGGCAUCCAGCAGAGUUUUGGAGGGGUAGCAGCAUUGUGCAGCAACGUUUUUUAUAUAACACAUUCUAGACUAAUUUCACUUUGAAGGCAAUUUUUUCACUUGUGUUUGAGUCUGUAUUUCUUAACGGUGGACUGGCAAGCUGAGCAUGUUUUCCCUUGUACCCAAAUCUGCUCGCUUUCUAAAUUCAGAGCAUAUCUAUUGCCUCUAUGUGGCUCCCUCACCAGUUGUUUAAUUCAGUAAAUCCGUUUUAUGUUUCUACACACACAGACACACACACACACAGACAAUGGAGAUGGAAAUAUAGCACUUUUUUAGUCAACCACAUUUGUAAAAGGGUUAACUUCAUAUGCAGAUUCAGAUUAUUCAUUAAAAAUAUAUACUAUACGUAGAAAUAAUAAUUAUUACGAUUUCUACACUCUGAUAUUGCUACCAUUUCUUCCACCGCAAAGAAAAGGGGAAGAAGGAAUCGUUUAACACGUGGCGUUCCCACUUUUGGUGAUUGUGACGAUGCCUGCUGGACAAAGGUAACGCUGCGCUCCUUGAUAUCAUCACCAGGUGAUGCUGUGGGUGGUGGCGUCAUUGCUGAUACUAGUGGAAGACGUGUUUUCUGAAGAGGACAAUAAAAAGGGUCAAUCAGACCUCCGUCGUGUCCUCGGGCAGCCCUCCUCGUCCUCUGCUGAGGAUCUUGAACGGGACAGCAGAGUCCACACACACUGGCUUAAAGCUCUCGGCAAGUAUUUCAUUUUCAUUUUAUAAUUCAUCAGCAAGUUCUCACUCAGGCUUGUGGUUUUUCUUCAAUUAAUUAUCAAACGUGAAUCUACUGCGAUCAACAACACGUUCUUGUAAUUCAGUGAGGACGGGUCAGUUCUGUGGAUGCAAAAGCAUCAGUACUGAAGAACUGGAGACUUGUUAUUUGUUGAAAGAAGAGCAAAGAACAUACCUGAAGUUUCUCCAUGGUGAAGAUGUUUUCUCUCUUCCCUUUGACUGGCUUCCUGAAGACUUUGAUUGACAGGCGUUUCAUUGAUUCACAGGCCAACCUUUUUGUUUUGAAGUGCCUGUCCUUUCCAAUGACAGAUCUUCAGAUGGUUUCGUGUAAACCAAUCUGUGGUCAUGGUUAAAAGAAACCAAGGCUGACUCCUGGUAGUGGGCACAGGAAUCCAAAGGCUCUAUUACAUGUCAAAAGUUCCACACUUGGUUGACCUCUUCACCCCAAUUUCCAUUCCAGCCGGCGUGGCUGUGCGUCUCUUUAACACGUUGGUUCUGCCUUUGCUUCUGAUGGAGAUCAUCGUUACAGCAGCGAGACCUAACACGUGUUGUUCAUGUCUUUAGUUCUACAAUAAGUAUAAAACUAGACAUAAACCACCCCUUACAACAACAACAUGACAAAUAUCUAUUUUUAACCUUUGGAGGCGCACGUUCAUUUCCAUCGUUUUUUUUUUCUAUUGUGCGGCUUAGUAGCUGCAAACAAACAUCUGAGAUGGAGGCCAUAAAAUAGCAGCAUGUUACUCCUGAAUGGAUGACCUCUGGAAAUGAUCAAUCCAGUGUGAAGGUCUCUGUCGUGCAACAAGGCCCUUGUUCUUCACAGCAAGUAGAGGAACAGGAUGAAUGACUGAACGUCUGUUUAUUUUAGUAAGUAACUCAGUCUAUUUAACAUAUCUAAGAUGUGUAAUCCCUUUAGAAAACAGUAAGUUAAAACAAGUUUUAUUGUAAGCGCCACCUGACACUCCUCUGGUGACUGAAUUAUUAUUGAAUCAGUUUAAAAUGGACAGUUUGUCCCAAAAUCAGAAAGAUACAGGUUUCCUCGUUUUGAUGCGAGUUGCCAAGAAUUUUAGGUAUUUCCUAAAAUAGUUUUAUAUUUUUUAUUAGGUAUAUAAGAUGUCAGUAUAAUGGGAAUCCAACAAAUACAAAUACAAAUACCAGCAAUGUCUCUUUCCAGAAUUGAUGACACAAUUAUUCACAGAUCGCGUUGGGUGCGCAACAGCGUCUCAUUGGCUAAUGCUCACAACAGCGGUUCUAAAUUAUGGUGGAGGAUAGCUUUUUUUAUUCCAGUAUCUAAUGGCACAUGCCUUUAUGAACAGUAAGCAUAGAGGCACAAAAAAGAGUUAUUCUAGUGAUCGAAGCAGUUACUGCAUGAGACAUGCUGAUACUUCAUUAUUGGGGUGCUGUAAGCUGCGUUUCUCCAUCCCAACCUUUAUGGAAGUGGUGGAAAAUGAUCACGGCAAGCACAGUUGGACGUGAUUGCCCCGAACUCAUGCCCCAUUCUAAUGUAACAUUGGAAUAGCGAUACAAUUUCUUGAGAUUAUGCAUGUGGCGUGUUUGGACAUGGCUGAAUACGUACAGGUGAGCGGGGGGGACAUUUGCCUGGGGGAAAUUCGUAUGCAUAUUUCCGUUUUGGGGGGGGUAAACUUUGAGGCAUGAGCUGACAAGCAUUCAUCCCGCUACGCGGUACUGAAAAUCCCCUCAGGAAAUUGCUGCACGGAGGCAUCGAAGGGAGAAGUGCGAGGAUAAAGCCUUCCCCGGUUCAGGAAGUCAGUCAAACACCUGGACCAGGUCGGCCCAGGUCGGCCCAGGUCGGCCCAGCGGAGCGGCUGACGUUAUUUGAAACGUUCCUGACAACAGAGAACUUUGGCUACAGUUGGUUGUCAGCUAGCCGCUCCACUAGCCUACUGGUAAUGACCCUGCCCAGUGACAGUGAAUUUCACAACAGAGGCAUUUUCCCCCUCCAGUUUCCUGUGUCUGCUUUUGAUUUGUUUGGAUCAAGAUUUAAG
ensembl:lncRNA